CCAGCAUUUGAAGGAGGUGGAGGAACCUAGUGAUUCGGGCAGCUGGGCGCCUUUACACCCAGGCCCUGGGGAGGCCGAGCUGGAACAAUGGAAGGAUAAGUCAGAAGCUAAUCACAUGGUUACUUACAGAGGUGUGGGGAGAAAGGAGUGAGCAGUGGAGCCACUGGAGGUGUACACAAUGAACCUGCACUGCAUGGAGAUGUACGUGCAGAGGUGUGAACACAUACACUGGUACCUUAUGCCCACCAACCUGGAGGAGCUGA